AGCUCUUAUAACCAAACAGGAACAGAGUCACACAGGCUCACAAGAAGAGAGAAGACAGUCUCAUCUCUGCUUUCACUGACCGCUCCAUGUCUGAAACAGGACAGGACAGACAACGUUCGAACAGUGGCUCCAGCAGGAAAAUGGUCCCAGUGAAACUCCUUAUUCUGGGAGCUCAGAACACUGGAAAAACAGCACUCUGCGUUCGCUUCAUAACCAAGCGCUUUAUAGGCGAAUACGACCAUAAAAAAGAGGUGACAUACCGAUGUAAUCGAGUGUUGGACCACGAGGCUGUUGAUGUGGAGAUCUUGGACUUACCUUGUAAGGAGAGUUGUGCGUCCUCCCUGGAGUCGUCCAUCCGCUGGGCUGACGGCUUCCUGCUGCUCUACUCCAUCACACAACGCCUCAGCUUCCUGGAGCUUCCUCCACUCAAGACCCUCAUUGACAAAAUCAAACAGAACCUCGUUGUUCCUACGGUGCUGGUAGCCAAUAAGUCAGAUCUGGAAAUUGGCCGGGAAGUGACAACUGAGGAAGGACAGAAACUUGCCAAAGAUUUAAGAUGUGGUUUCAAAGAGCUCUCUGUGGCUGAAGCAGUUCUAGCAGUUGAAGUGGCGGUGAUGCAGCUCAUUAGGCUGGUGAUGGAUCAGCAGCGUCCUCUGCCUGACCGCCGCUCCUACAUGCUGACUGUUCGCCACGCUCUCACCAGGAAACUGACCCGCUCCAAGACCAUGCAGUGGUGACCGCAGCUGAUAAGCAAUUCAUUUUGGCUAUUUUGAUGGUAGGAUAUUUGAGAAAAAACAGAUGUUUUAGGGAGUAUUUUUUUUUUUAAGUUUUCCAGUAAGGACUUGUUCAUGAAGUCAUGUUGGGUCCGCGGGGAGGGCGGCUGGAGCCUCUCCCAGCUGUCACCGGAUGAGAGGCAGGUCACAUCCAGUCUAUCACAGGGAUGCACAGAGACAGGCGCCCAUGCUUGUUUACACUCACUCCUAAGGAAUAUUAAUGUGGGUGGAAGCCAAAGUGUCCAACGGAAAUCCAUGUAGGCAUGGGGGUAAACACGUAAACUCCAAACAGGAAGACUCCCGCCUGGCUUCAAAUGGAAACCUUGUCGCUGUGAGGGGGUAUUGCCAACCAUCUCAUCACCAUGCUACUCCUAUAUCUUUUACAUCCCUGUCAAAAGUUAGUUCAUAUUUGGCAACUUUAUUAGAGAUAAGCAGUAUUCACAGCGGGCAAAAUGUUGGAGUUUCAAGAAAAAGGUUUUGUUAAGACUGACGAAUCAUGACAUUUCAUUGGAAUUGACUCUAAAAUGGACUUUAGUGUUUUUGAGCACAUUGUUUUGGCUCAAAUGAUCUUCAAACUCCUCCUCCUCCACAAGUAUCGGACGUCUGUAUUUCAUGGGAAAAACAACCCAACACACAAGUUAUUGAUGAACUGUUGAACACAGCUAAAGAUAUGGAAAAUUCUCCCAGACGUUGGUGGGAACCAAAGGAGUAGUGCGAUAAGUGACUCAAAACGAACGCUAAUGUUCUCCAUGUGUGCUGAACUGGCGACUGUUUUGAAAGGAGUUUUGAGAUAAUUUCAGGUUUCAUAUCAAAGGUAGUUGGUUUUAUUCAUACUAGCGUUCAAACAUUCCUCUCUGUGUUGAAAUGAGGAGCAAACAGUCAAAAAUCAGACUUCUUUCUCGAAAACUGAAACGUGAGCGUUUCCUCAUCUCUCAGCGCCUUAUUUUCUCCUUCUUCCUCAUCGUUGGUACAUUACUUCAUUGUUGUUGCCACAUUAACAGACUAUUCAGUUGGAACAGUAAAAGGGUCUGCACAUGCUUGUGUUUUAUUCUGGAACUCUACUAGAGUAGCCCUGCAUGAUUUGCAGUACCAAAACUUGAGUAAUGUACCUUAACGAGCCCUUUUAGGCUUCCUUCACUUCAUCCUUUAUUUAAAGAGAUUUUAGCUCUUUAUUCUAAUUGGCCAGUUUCCGUAGGCUUUAUAAUAUGUUUGUGAUGACCAUUUAUGGCUGCAUUUUUUUUUGUUUGUAUAUUUCCCAUCUUAUGCAUAGAUAAAUAUUCAACCAAUACACAGACUUUCAGCAUGGGAUGUAUAGUUUAUGAACAAGCCAACAGCCUGUAGUAAUAUUGUAACGCAUAGAUCAAUGCAGAUUGGCUGGAAAAUGGGUUUAAAUCAGACUUUAAGAGAAGAAAAGAAAAAAAAAAUCCCCAAAAAAGGUCCAAAAAAUGUUAGAAGAGGAGCUUGAAGAAUGGUUAUAGUUUGAGUAACAAAAAUCUAGGCUGUAAUUCCACAGCUUCAAUUUUUCUUGAGGAUUUAUUACGUCUCGGUGGGAAAUACAGUAGAAAGCAAAAGGUCACUUCAGUUAUACAACACCGAUGUGAGUGCAAGAAAAGAAGGGACAAUUUGUCCCUGGGGACGAGACACCUCCGUAAACUGAUACGUGAAGAGAGAAUGAAGGCCCAGAAGAGGUGAAAGCAGAUGGGGGGGAGGGAAAAGGUAGAA